rnacentral:rRNA from 1 species
UGGGGAAUAUUGCGCAAUGGGGGGAACCCUGACGCAGCAACGCCGCGUGCAGGAAGAAGGUCUUCGGAUUGUAAACUGUUGUCGCAAGGGAAGAAGACAGUGACGGUACCUUGUGAGAAAGUCACGGCUAACUACGUGCCAGCAGCCGCGGUAAUACGUAGGUGGCAAGCGUUAUCCGGAAUGAUUGGGCGUAAAGGGUGCGCAGGCGGCAUAUCAAGUCUGAAGUGAAAGGUACGGGCUCAACCUGUACAGGCUUUGGAAACUGGUAUGCUCGAGGACAGGAGAGGGCGGUGGAACUCCACGUGUAGCGGUAAAAUGCGUAGAGAUGUGGAAGAACACCAGUGGCGAAGGCGGCCGCCUGGCCUGUAACUGACGCUCAGGCACGAAAGCGUGGGGAGCAAAUAGGAUUAGAUACC